rnacentral:rRNA from 1 species
UACGUAGGGGGCAAGCGUUGUCCGGAAUUAUUGGGCGUAAAGAGCUCGUAGGCGGCUUAGUAAGUCGGCGGUGAAAUACCGAGGCUCAACCUCGGCACUGCCGUCGAUACUGCUAUGGCUAGAGUUUGGUAGAGGAGAACGGAAUUCCCGGUGUAGCGGUGGAAUGCGCAGAUAUCGGGAGGAACACCGGUGGCGAAGGCGGGUCUGCUGGGCCGAUAUCGACGCUGAGGAGCGAAAGCGUGGGGAGCGAACAGGAU